AAGCGCCUCAUCCUGCGGUACCUGUUCUUGACCUGUGGGGGUGUGAGACAGCAAGAGUGAGCUCACAUACGUUCAUCGCUCAACAAGUUGUGGGGAAUAAUGUGCAUGAACUCACCAAAGGUGGGAGCUCACGUGAAGUGUAAGGCUUACCAAAGAGGACGGUUAGAGCUGAGCAUUGCUUUUAAAGUUGGUCAAAAUUUUAUUAGCAAUUACUAAGUAUAAGUAAAUACCAACCCAAUUAAAUAGUAGAACAGAAGUAACAACAUCACCUGCGAUGCAAUGCAUAUGACAAAUUGAAUUUAAGUUCCAUAAAUUAAUCAUGUGAGGGUCCGAGCUGCUCAUGACCGUGAGCACGGCUAGUAUACCAGUUUUACACUCUGCAGAGGUUGCACAUCUUUACCCACAAGUCAUGUUACCCAUCUGCCAAGGGAUCGCGACUUCCCAUACACCUCUACCGAGGAGGCGAGGCAGGGUAACACUACGAGGCCUUUACAAAGUUCCACUAGCUUCAGAAAACCCGCUACAGUUUAUAGGAAGCUCCAAUGCAGGAAUCCCUUGCAGGACCGCCAUCGCAGCAAAAUCCUCCCGAGGGCCUCCCUACACUGACCACUCCCCUACUGCCCUUGCCCCUUUCGGGUAAGGUAGUCCUCCACUAGCUUUCCUAAUUAAUCAGCCAAGGGCGUCCCAUUAUACCCUUGUGGUAGCACUGUUUUCCCGGGUGGUCGCUCCAUGUUCCAAUUAACAUAAUGAUCUUAUCAUGAACGAUAAAUAACAACGGAUAACAAAAGUAUAAUCAUGAGUAAUGUAUCUUCAUACCCAAAACCACAUAAAGCACUAACAAGUACUACCCAAAAAGUUCAGUGGUAACAAUGUAUAAAGAUAAUCAAACUAGGGUAACCUAUUGGGUCCCAUCAAAAUUAACCUAUGCAGAUCAUUAUGAUUAAUCAGAACAUGGCUGGGUAAAAAGAAGUGAUCAAGAGCACAACUUGCCUGGGACUUGAGAUUCCAGGUACCAACUUGCUCUUCAGAUGACACGUAACCUCGCGCUAGUCGUAGCAGUACAAACAAACAUAGUAUAGGCAAAAUUAACAUCACACCAAACAUAAGAACAAAGUGCAUAAGAAUAUUCUACGCGUUACUACGAGAUCGUGGGAUCGAGAACUAGUAAAAUCGGAGUCAUGGUUAAGGAGUUAUGAUUUAUGGGAGAUCUAUGUGAAUUAAAUAUUAUAGAUUGAUUAGUAUACAUCAUAUGAGAGAGAUCACUCUAUAAAUAAUUAAUCUCAACUUUAAUUUUAAUUAUACUUAACUAGAGAUCAUGUUUUAACCAAAUUAUAAUUAUGGUCAGGUUGGUUUGGAUUUAGAAGAGCUAAUCUAGUAGACAUAGGAUGAUAAAUAUCUAACUAUAAAAGUAUGCGACAUGGUAUACUUUAUGCUGUUACUGUGUAGUAAAUAUUUAUACGAAGCUAACGCAACUGGAACGAGUCAAUUCAGAAUUAAAACGAAGGAGUUAUGAAUUUCCGAAGGUUUUAUGCAUUUGAUACGAGAUUAAUUAAGAGAUAAAUUUUAAUAUGGUUUUCAUGUCAAAACAGAGACACUAUGUGAUGAACAAUAUUAUUACAAAAUUACAUGAAUGGGAAUGAGCUAAAAAAGAGUUAAAAUGAAUUUUAUAUGAAUUUUACAAGUUUCUAGAAUUGUUGUUGUAUUAAAAAUCAAUUUCUAUAUUAUUUUUCUCAAAUUCCUCAGUUACUGGGCUGGGCGCAUAAAUAAACCAAAAGUCAGGGGCUAUCACGUAAGUAUCCCAAGACCCAGCGCACAGCAACAGCGGAUCGCUGGUUGAUUUAAUAAGAAGAUAGAGUCUCUUUAACAAGAUAGCCUGGCCCAAGGGGUAUCCAGAGCCAUGGCCGAUUGAUCAAAAAUCAAUGGCCAAGAUUAAAUCUAUCCCACCCAUGAACCAGUAUCUACUGGUGACCACAGGAUCCAAAAUCAGCGGCCACGAUCGAAAUCUCUAAGAUCUAAUCCUGUCCACAUGAUCCUGCCUCAACGGUCGAGAUCAGCCUACGCGAAGUGGUACGCGCGCUCUCAUCUCAGCCGCACAAAUCGAGAUCGACGAUCUAGCCACCGCCUUCUACCUCCUGCCACGGCCGGGCAGCAACUACGAACGGCCGGGGCCACCCCCACGCUGGAACGAAUGGCGCAAGGCCCUGAGGCCACAUUCUAGUGCUACAAACGGCACAAGGGACGCGGAGGCCUUAUGGACACAGAAGGGGAAAAUCUUACUGGUAGAUUUGGACGCUGCAGCGCUGCACGCGACGAUUAGUGCCCCGAUGGCAAUGCACAGCUUCGUCGAAGGAUUGCAUGCACAUCAGCUACUCUGGUCACCGAGCACCCACGAUGAAGUCACGGGUAUGUGCGGCAUGCACUGGUCGUCAUCCACCAGCGCCGCUUGGCCAUUGCUGAGGACAUGGGCGAGGAUAUUACUAUGGCGGCAAUCUCAGCUCUCCACAUCAUAGCGCUCUCUGGUGCUUCAGUACGUCAAUGGCCAAGGGGAGUCAUAUGGAGCUUGAUUUUAUAUCCCAGGG
rnacentral:lncRNA from 1 species